rnacentral:pre_miRNA from 1 species
UGGACGGAUUAUUGUAUUCGACUGUAUUCACGACGUGAAACAGGGGAUUACGCUGUUUAUAAACGGAAAGUGAAUCAAUUAACAUAAUAGACUCCU